AGUGAACGCUGGCGGUAGGCCUAACACAUGCAAGUCGAACGGCAGCACAGUAAGAGCUUGCUCUUACGGGUGGCGAGUGGCGGACGGGUGAGGAAUACAUCGGAAUCUACUUUUUCGUGGGGGAUAACGUAGGGAAACUUACGCUAAUACCGCAUACGACCUACGGGUGAAAGCAGGGGAUCUUCGGACCUUGCGCGAUUGAAUGAGCCGAUGUCGGAUUAGCUAGUUGGCGGGGUAAAGGCCCACCAAGGCGACGAUCGGUAGCUGGCCUGAGAGGAUGAUCAGCCACACUGGAACUGAGACACGGUCCAGACUCCUACGGGAGGCAGCAGUGGGGAAUAUUGGACAAUGGGCGCAAGCCUGAUCCAGCCAUACCGCGUGGGUGAAGAAGGCCUUCGGGUUGUAAAGCCCUUUUGUUGGGAAAGAAAAGCAGCAGGUUAAUACCCCGCUGUUCUGACGGUACCCAAAGAAUAAGCACCGGCUAACUUCGUG
rnacentral:rRNA from 1 species